AGUGAACGCUGGCGGUAGGCCUAACACAUGCAAGUCGAACGGCAGCACAGUAAGAGCUUGCUCUUACGGGUGGCGAGUGGCGGACGGGUGAGGAAUACAUCGGAAUCUACUUUUUCGUGGGGGAUAACGUAGGGAAACUGCCGCUAAUACCCAAUACGACCAACGGGUAAAACCAGGGGUUCUUCGGACUUUUGCCGUUUGAUUUAGCCGAUGUCGGAUUAGCUAGUUGGCGGGGUAAAGGCCCACCAAGGCGACGAUCCGUAGCUGGUCUGAGAGGAUGAUCAGCCACACUGGAACUGAGACACGGUCCAGACUCCUACGGGAGGCAGCAGUGGGGAAUAUUGGACAAUGGGCGCAAGCCUGAUCCAGCCAUACCGCGUGGGUGAAGAAGGCCUUCGGGUUGUAAAGCCCUUUUGUUGGGAAAGAAAAGCAGCAGGUUAAUACCCCGCUGUUCUGACGGUACCCAAAGAAUAAGCACCGGCUAACUUCGUG
rnacentral:rRNA from 1 species